rnacentral:tRNA from 2 species
AUUUAUAUAGUAUAAAAAGUAUUUUUGACUUCCAAUCAAAAGGUCUAAAUUUUAGUAUAAAUA